GUCGGCGUCGUCACCCUCCAGCCGACGACCGUGCCCGUCAUCACCGAACUGCCCGGUCGUACCAGUGCUUUCCUCGUCGCCCAGGUGCGCGCGCGGGUCGAUGGCAUCGUGCUCCACCGUGAGUUCACCGAGGGCAGCGAGGUCAAGGCCGGCCAGCGUCUGUACAAGAUCGA
rfam:Burkholderia sp. H160 ctg00424, whole genome shotgun sequence.